rnacentral:rRNA from 1 species
UACGAAGGGGGCUAGCGUUGCUCGGAAUCACUGGGCGUAAAGGGUGCGUAGGCGGGUCUUUAAGUCAGGGGUGAAAUCCUGGAGCUCAACUCCAGAACUGCCUUUGAUACUGAAGAUCUUGAGUUCGGGAGAGGUGAGUGGAACUGCGAGUGUAGAGGUGAAAUUCGUAGAUAUUCGCAAGAACACCAGUGGCGAAGGCGGCUCACUGGCCCAAUACUGACGCUGAGGCACGAAAGCAUGGGGAGCGAACAGG